rnacentral:rRNA from 1 species
GUAGGUGGCAAGCGUUGUCCGGAAUUAUUGGGCGUAAAGCGCGCGCAGGCGGUUCUUUAAGUCUGAUGUGAAAGCCCACGGGCUCAACCGUGAGGGUCAUUGGAAACUGGAGAACUUGAGUACAGAAGAGGAAAGCGGAAUUCCACGUGUAGCGGUGAAAUGCGUAGAGAUGUGGAGGAACACCAGUGGCGAAGGCGGCUUUCUGGUCUGUAACUGACGCUGAGGCGCGAAAGCGUGGGGAGCAAACAGGAUUAGAUACCCUGGUAGUCCACGCCGUAAACGAUGAGUGCUAAGUGUUAGGGGGUUUCCGCCCCUUAGUGCUGCAGCUAACGCAUUAAGCACUCCGCCUGGGGAGUACGGCCGCAAAGGCUG